GUUGCAUGAAACAAAUGAGAAUCAAUUUGCUCAUUGCCGAUCAUUGCCAAUGAUUCCACAGCACAUUUGAUUGAUCAUCUUUCAAAGGCACGUCACUCUAUGAAGAAUCUUGUGGAUUCUACAGGGGAGUCAGCCAGAAUCCCUGUCUUUUGAAUGAACUCUUAGAUCUGUUGCAUUUAGCCUGCUCUCUCAUAGUAGCAACAUUUCGUACUUUCAGACAUUCCUUUGGCUAUUCUGUGUGCUCAUUCUGAGACUUUUAAGAGGUGAUAACUACGUCUAUUUAUUUAUUUUUAAUUCAUGGUCUAUAAAUACACCUGGUAACAUGACUCACCAACCACUAGCCAUCCCACACAAAGAGACAGGAUUGUUUGGGGCCACAAAAAUCUGGUUUUGAAGGGGUGCUGUCUGGUUUCACAGCCUCAGCUCCCUUCUCUUUUCACUGGAGUCUUUCAAGGACGCCUCUCAGUGACUUUGUACAAUGCUGCAAGGUGCGGUUUUGUGCAGAACUUAGAGCAAGGGGGAGAAGAGAAAAAGAAAACUUCCCUCUAGUAAAUUGGCAGAGGAACAUUUCUUAAGGUUACACACCACCCACACAUUCCUUUCAAAUGAUCAAAGACUUACGAGAGGUCAUGGAAGGAGAGAAGAAGAAGAAGGGAGCCUGGAAGAAUUUUUUUUUCUUCAAGUUCUCUGUGCUGCAAGUCUUUCUGAAUAAGGGACAACUUAGGACUCUUGUUACUCUUCUGGAAGAUUUCUAGGUUGAAGGGAGCACACGUUGAAUCGAGUUGGUGAACUGAUAUCUCGAAAACGAACAAUACGCCUAUCUCUUUUCUAUGUCUCAUUCCAAAUUCAACACCAUUUCCAUCCAUUAAAUCUUUUAUGUAUUCUUUUCAUUAUUUUUUUAGGUUUAGUUUUCAUGGUCCUCUUUACUUCCUGGUUUCAGCGGAAUACACUCAACUUGUUAUCUUGAUUUUUCUGUUUCUGGCUCAUCCCAAAGCAGGAAGUACUCAACAUUUACAAGAAAUCUGUUUGGACUUGAUUUUCUUACCCCAUUGGUAGUUUCUAAACUCAAAUCUAGUCUUUUAGAUUUGGCUUUAGUUUUACGUUGUAUCUUGUGUCAUUCUUUACAGCUUAGGUCUGGACUGCCGUUCAUUUUCAUCUGGUGGAGUGAAAUGCUGUCUUUCCUAGGUUUUCAUAGUAAUAUACACCUCAGUUAGACCUUUACUCAUCAUGUAGAUUUUAUUUGCUUGCCUUACCCUGAUAUUGUAAUCUCCUCGAGGGAAGAGGCUGUGUCCUUUACAUUUUUGCAUCCCUACCUCCUUGCAAACUGACAGGUCACGGAUACUAAAUAAAUAUUUGUCGAAAGAAUUAAUAGACUGUGGUUUUUUUUAACUUAAAAAGCCUCAGGCACAAAUCUGUGGUUUUUCUUGACACUUUCUACCAGGUGCAAGUGACUAGCAGCCAGAUUUUUUGUUGCUCUUGUUUAAUUCCUCUUCGCCAUUUGGGGCCCUGCCUUCCUUCUCCAUCUCACCGUUGCCUGGGUCUGUACACAAACAGAAAACUUCCAUCACAAUACAGAAGAAAAGAUAUGAGGAAACUCCUAGAAGGUACUUCAGUUUUUCAACUAAAGGAAACUUUGCAUCAGUGCUCAGUGACAUACCAGAAGGACGGGUACCUUGAACUUGGAAGGAAACCUUUAUUUCACUACUACUACAAUCCUCAGAAAUGCUGCUCUUGUGAAGAGCCAAAGCUGCCAGUGUGGAAAGUAAGUCCUUAAGGGACCAAGCCAUUUGAAUUACAUUGUCCUUUGGACCCACGCAUGGCAAGAGCAUCUGCUUUCCUGUCUUGACUGGAGGCUCAUGCACCUUAUGUUACUAUUUGUGUUUAUGUGGAGUUUUGCUGAAGUGCAGUCUUUGGUUUCCACUAUGAGCGCUCCCAGAGCAUCCUGUCCACAGGACGGGAAAGCGCCCAAUUGCGAAUUGGGAGCCAAAAGUGACUACAAUUCCCAGGAAGCACUUCACGGCUUCUCUUUGGCGUAUCUGAACUGCCCUCAUCACUACACUUGCACUUUCGGGCCAUUAUUAAGGAAAAUAAUGGUGACUUGGACACAAGCACUGCCUACUGCGACAGUUGAUCUGAUAACAGAGACGGCUACUAAGCGACUGAAAGGAAUAUCAACUGGAGCACAAUCUAGAAUCACACCAGGAGUAUGUGCAGGUUUCUGACAAAGGAGUUUUGAAGGAAACAGCUUCAAGCUAAAUGGAUUCUGUACAACAGAAAACAGCUCUUCAAACAGCAUCGCUGUCAUACAUGGACAACUACAAAUACAUCUCACCUCUCUCAGGGCAGCUGUGAAUGUAAAUUUCAACGGUUAAUGUUAAGUUACUGCUUACAAACUAUGCAGACAUCUAAGUUGAAAUACGAAUUGAGUGAUUUUGCUUUCAUCAAGGAGCAAUUUUCCAUUACCUUCAGUAAUAUUUCCUCAAAAUAGAAGUUUGAUGAAAGGAAAUGAAAGUAAAUGAGAUACUGCAGAUUUCUCAUAUAAGUGUAUGUGUGUAUAAAACUCUUUCUGUUGUCUUCAUGUGUCUUUAUGUAUGCCAUGCCAUACUUUUAAACCAGGACUUCUUAACUCUGGUUCCAUGGUUCAGAGGCUUUUGGGGUUCAGUGAAACAAAAUUUGUGGUUAUAAGCACAAACUCUAGUUCAAACUCUGAUUCUUCCAUUUACUUAGCUUGGGCACAUAACUUAACCCCAUCUAUGACUCAGUUUCUUCGUUUACAAAAUGGAGAUAGUAAUAGUCUUUAGUUCAUAGGGUUGAAGAUUAGAGAGUUAAUUAUGUAUAGUGCUUAAACAAUGCCUACCUGGUUGGUAAAUUAAAUUUGGUAUUAGUUAUCACAUGUAUUAACAAUUAACAUUGUUUUUAUUUACUAGUGACUACUGAAAUAUUGAUUUCAAAUAUUUAUUACUUUUAAAUUAAAAGAAGGCCUAUUUUAACUUCCUCACAUUUGUCUCAUCCAUGCAAUUUAUUUAAUGACAAACCUAAAUUUACAUUUAGCAGAAUUUUGGCACCUACGUGAAUUACACGAAGGAAGGUAGUGGUCAAGGGGUUUAUUUAUUUAUGUAGGGUCUUGAGGAGAAAUUAUCCUGUUGGCUAACCAAGUGAAAAUUUUGCUCAAAAUUCAAUUGUAGAGUUUGAAAUUGGGGAAAUUCUGUGGAAAAUAAUCUUCAAGACAAAGAUUGUUUCGUUCAUGACGUUAGUCAUUCUUAUCAGGAAUAUCAGCAGAAAGCUGAGUCUUGAGCAGCAUCCAACGUCCUUUGCAGGGAAAGUUUCAAGCCUCUUUGUAGGGCUUCUUGAGGCACCGUUGAUUUAGAAAACAUGGAUUGUUUGCCUUUGCCUUCUAGAUAUGAGCACUAUGGGGGAUCUUUAUGGAUUUCAUCUGCUGCUGUAUCCUCAGCACCUAGGGAAGUGCCUAAACUUAGUACAAACUCAUUAGCUAUUUGUUGAAUGAAUAAAUUAAUAAGCUCUUAAAGUCAGUAUUACGGGUUAGGGAUAGAGCAACAAUUAAGCCCUCAUAAGGUAUAAGCAAAAAUUGUUCACAUCAAUUUUCCAUCUCCAUUCUUCUUGUCUAAAGCAAAUAUGUCUUCUUUCCUUAAAUAAAUAAAUAAUAAAAUAUUUGCCUCGCAGCUCAUGGCAGUCCAAGAUAGGUAUUGUCUGCCAUAUAGUUCCUGCUUCAUCUGGCUAGAUUUGUCAAUACUAUAGACUGAUAGAUCAAGAGAGGUGUCCAGUAUUCACACUAGGAUUUUUUCCCUUUCUACUUAACCAAACCAUCCUAAAGCUGCACAUCCAGACAAUAUCAUCAUGGCCGUAUCUGAACCUGCUUGGUUGACUGUCAGGUUGACAUGGUAUCUGUAGGUAUCACUGACAGGAUAGUUGGAAUUUGCACACACUCAUAUGUGGGAACAACAUGUCCCUUUUCCUAUCACUUGCAUCCACUGAUGUCAUGGAAUCAGAGCUUUGUCCAUUUCAGGUAUAAUGGCAUGAAAUACGUGUUAGGACAAAUCGUUACCAUCUGUUGUAUGGUCUAGUAUGUUCCAACAAUGUUACAUGCACAGAUAUUACUCAACCCUUACAACACCUCUCUGUGAUAUGUCUUGUAAUUCCCAUCUUACAAAUGAAAAACACGGCUUUGAAGGAAAAGUAAGUCAUCCCUGUUGACACCGAAACUAGGAGACAGACAAGGAAUUCAAACACAGGCCUGCUGACUCUAAAGUUUGUGUGCAUUAUGCUUUGUUAGGAUACCUAUGAAUGCUCUGUGAUUUCCUCCAAUUCUUGAGCUCAUUGCUAUAUUUCUCUCUCAAAGUCUUAAUUUUCACCUCAUUCUGCCACUCUUUAUACCCGUACAUACCUUGUUGAACACUGUGCCCAUGUAGAAAGCAAAAACCCAGGCUGGAGCUGAGCUAUUGCCCGUGGUAAUCAGCUGUAUCUGAGACUAUGUUCCGAUCAGAUGUCAAAUCACCCCAGAAACACCCUAGAGAGACUGUGGAACUAUUCAUAAUUACCACAAAUUGAAAGUGAUGAGAAAAUUGGUGCUAUUUCCUUGUCAAUCUCUAGAAAGAUUAUUAUGCUCUCUACUUACUACCAGAUAGUUUUUAAAAUUCUUACUGUGAAAAUUUAUUCCACAACCUUCAACAUUAGUUCUCAAUCUUUGUUUUGCAACACUCCAGUAUGCUUCCAAUUAUUUCAAGAAUUGUUGUAAAGUUCUUAAUUUCCAAACAAAAUUAAAUGUGAUUAAACUUUGUUUUAACAUUUUAUUUUGGGAAAUUUCAAACAUAUUCAAUGUAAUAGAAGAGUAACAAAUCUCUAGGUACCCAUUGAUCCAGGUUCAACAGUUACCAAUGAAUAUCAAAUCUCAUUUCAUUUAUAUCCUCCUACACCUCCCCCAUACCCACCCCAUGGGUAUUUUGUAGCAAAUUUUAGAUGUUGUAUCAUAUCAUCCUGAUUAAGCUUUAUUUUAAAUUAGAAUGUCAUAGAAACAAUUGGGUAAAGAAAAAGAAUAGGACAGGAACACAGGAACAAUAUGAAACAAAACCCAGUAAAAUGCAAUGAAAACUGCUCAUUUUUGUUUUACUCCAAGGAGCCAAAAACCACUUCUCUUUUUAUUGAUUUUGUACAGAAAUCAAUAUUUAAUACGUUUCUUGAUGAUGAUUAGGAUGAUGAUGACUUCCCUAAAAUGUGUGGCAGAUAAUUCGUCAGUGGACAUCAGACACUGAGGGAGAUGAGAGACUAGAUUGUAUCAAUCUCCAGAUGUUUCAGAGUCACUUUUCCAUCUGCUAAGAAGAGAUGGAUGUCAAGAUUAUCUUUUACAAUAUGAAAUUUGAGGAAACAAAGGAUGCAAGAAGGAAAAGAAGAGAGAGAAAGCAAACUGCCACCCUCAUGGUCCAAGAUCACAGUAAAAGAUAAUUUUCUAGCGUGAGUCAGGCUGAAACUGGUUUCCCAGCUUCCAGUGUGACACCCAAUCCAUGAAGUAGCUGUACUUCUGUGUCUUGCCAGUCCUGGUCUGGGCAUGUACACAAGGUAUGUGGACAUUCUUCUUGCAUAUCUUGAGCGGCAUGGACAUUGUUCUUACAAUCUCUAUUAAAAACCCAUUCUCAGUUUUCGCUGCAGCUCUUCAUGGCUCCCCUGACCAGCAAUAUCAACCAAUACCUAUUGGUUUUUUGCAAAUUGUCAGCUGUGAGCUUCCUACUUGGCAUGGCAAGAAUGAGUUAGAGGUGUCUCAAGAUAUUGAUGGCUUCAGCUCGCAAUGCAGCAGGACAGGGCCUAGCCUGGCCAGUCUUUGGACCAGUGACCUUUGGCCAUGAGUACCAUACAAAAUGGUCUUUUUCUACGUGUUCUAUUUUGUCAAAGAGGUUGGGAAACAUUGGAGUAGAUUGGUUAAUAUAUUUAUCUAAAAACAUGCUUUGACUGCCUAAUAUGGGGAUCUGGGAAUAUAUCCUGGAAUAUAGAGAUGAAUAAAACUCAUACCUCACUGGCAUCUGAGUGACACAUCAUUUCUAAAGUUCUAUCAUGUAUUUUCCUUACUUCAAAAUUGCCAAUUUGGGCAAAAAGAUAAUUAUAUCAAAGAAGGAGUAGAGAUGACUGAGUGUGGAAACUACAGAAUAUGGAACUUAUCAAAGAAAACAUUGGUGUUCUUACUACAACUCAAUAUUAAUAAUCAUUUAUCUCCUGAGGACACAUUUCUAUGUUUGCUUUCCUUCCAUUGGCUAUCUUUCAAGCUAUGCCUCGUCACAUUAACUUCAUAAGGGUUUUAAGUAAAAAAUGUUGUUUUUAUAAAAAGGAAAAUAUGUAAUUUUUACUUGUUAAAAAUAAUCAGAAGUUAAUUCAUAUACAAAUUAGCUCAAAAGUUAGCCACAGUUCCAUAUUGCCAAUAUUAUUAAGCAUUACAAAUAGAUUAAAUAUCACAAAAUGCUUCUUAAGAACUGCAAAUAAGUGAUUGGGUUAUAACCUAAAUGAUAAAGUGAUCCUUAGCAUCUCCACAAAAACAGAAAACCACCACCAUGCAGUCGCAUCCUCAGAACCUUUAUUAAGAUUAUUAGCUCUUCUUAGCACUGUAUGCUCUCUCUAAGAGAGAGUUGUUUAUUGAUAUGAUGCUUGGAAAUCACAGCAGAUACCCAAGAAUAAUGAAGUUUGGCAACAGAUUGCAAAGUCUUAAAUGAAAAUGUGGCAGUUCUACAUGAACACAAACUAUCUCCAGACAAUUAAAAGAGCACACAUGUUUGUAUUUUACACACAUCCAUCAAAAAAUGCUGAAAACGGUUUAAAAUAUUUUUGACAAAAUAAGACUUUUUAACAAUCAAAACUAGAUUUUACAUAUGUACAUUUUAUUUAAAAAUAGUAAGUUUAUAAAUCUGAGCAUGGACUUCUUUUAAUGACGGUUCUGGAAGGUAAGUAUUCUAUUAUACUAUAUUUAGCAAGAGCAUUCUCAAAAAUAGUGAUACAAGAUCUGCUUUCUCUCUCUUCUCAUGGUAUUCUAUAAGAUUCCUCAAGUAUUUUGAUCCACUACUAAGGGGCAGUUAUGUUGGAUAUAUAGGCAUCACCCACUUGAUGUUAGCGACACAUUCAGGAAAAUCUGAUGUUUUGCCCAAUAAUACUAACUGGUAGACUAUUUCCUUUUUUUAAAAAAAUAUUUUAAUAUGUUACUUGUCCACCCAAAGCCCCCAAUGUCCUAAAAGGUAAAUAAGUCAAAGUAAACUACCUAUGUGUAAGUAACACACAAUCACAUUAGGAAGUAAAAUAAUCUAGCUAUCAAUUAUCGAUCAUCACUCGAUAUAUUUAUUCCCAUACAGUUGUUUAUGUGUGUGGAAACAUACUACAGUAGCCUCUCAGUAUAGCAGGGGAUUGUCUCCAGGACCCCCCCAGAUACCAGAAUCUGUGGAUGUUCGAGUCCCUUAUAUAAAAUGGCAUAGUAUUUGCAUAUAACCUACUGCACAUUCUCCCAUAUACUUUAAAUCAU